UUUUUAUUGCUGGUUGUGGUCAUACAGUAGAUAUGAGAUACUAGACUGGGUACCAGUCUGUUUGGGCUAACAUUUCAUUCCUUGUACUCAGUGUCAUUAUGGAAAACAUUAAAAAAAUUACAAGGAGUGGAAUGUUAGCCCAAACAGACUGGUACCCAGUCUAGUAUCUCAUAUCUACUGUAUGACCACAACCAGCAAUAAAAA
rnacentral:pre_miRNA from 1 species